rnacentral:rRNA from 1 species
AUGGAUAAUGUUUUUAAGUGGAAUGGAUUGCCAAAGUCAAUAGUCUCUGACAGAAACUGGAUAUUCACAAGUAACAUGUGGCAGGCCUUCUUCAAAGCACUGCAAGUGAAAUUGAGGUUUAGCUCUGCCUAUCACCCACAAUCAGAUGGCCAGACAGAACGUGUGAAUCAGUGUGUGGAAAAUUACUUGCGUUGCAUGGUUUUUCAGCAACCAAGGAAGUGGGCUAGUUUGGAUCAAGCAAAUGCCACUUGGGAGGAUGCCGACUUCAUCAAAGGUCUCUUUCCGGAGUUCUAUACAGCUCCUAUUCGUGGUUGGUGCCCUAAUUCCAACACUUGA